rnacentral:rRNA from 1 species
AGUGAACGCUGGCGGUAGGCCUAACACAUGCAAGUCGAACGGCAGCACAGUAAGAGCUUGCUCUUACGGGUGGCGAGUGGCGGACGGGUGAGGAAUACAUCGGAAUCUACUUUUUCGUGGGGGAUAACGUAGGGAAACUUACGCUAAUACCGCAUACGACCUACGGGUGAAAGCAGGGGAUCUUCGGACCUUUCGCGAUUGAAUGAGCCGAUGUCGGAUUAGCUAGUUGGCGGGGUAAAGGCCCACCAAGGCGACGAUCCGUAGCUGGUCUGAGAGGAUGAUCAGCCACACUGGAACUGAGACACGGUCCCGACUCCUACGGGAGGCAGCAGUGGGGAAUAUUGGACAAUGGGCGCAAGCCUGAUCCAGCCAUACCGCGUGGGUGAAGAAGGCCUUCGGGUUGUAAAGCCCUUUUGUUGGGAAAGAAAAGCAGCAGGUUAAUACCCCGCUGUUCUGACGGUACCCAAAGAAUAAGCACCGGCUAACUUCGUG